AGAAAUGCAUCGGCCGGGAAUCGAACCCGGGCCGCCCGCGUGGCAGGCGAGCAUUCUACCAAAUGGCCAUAUUUAGGUAUUCAUUCC